rnacentral:rRNA from 1 species
UGGGAUGACGUCAAAUCAUCAUGCCCCUUAUGUUCUGGGCUACACACGUGCUACAAUGGCCGGUACAGACGGACGCAAAGCCGCGAGGUGGAGCAAAUCCUAAAAAGCCGGUCUCAGUUCGGAUUGCAGGCUGCAAUUCGCCUGCAUGAAGUCGGAAUCGCUAGUAAUCGCAGGUCAGCAUACUGCGGUGAAUACGUUCCCGGGCCUU